AGCUUUUGAAUAGAGCCAACACCAAGGAAGUAGAACCAAUAAAUGGUAUGACUGGCCCCGGGUCCUGCCCACUGGGCUUGUCUGAGGCCUCGAGGUGCUGUCUGUAUUCCAGCAUCCUCUGCUGGUAAUGGCUUCCCUCUGUGGUUGUGAGAACGUGCCCCCUUCCUUUGGUUUACUUCAUUUGUUUUGUCUUCCUUCUUCCUUCCUUUCUUUUUUUUUUCUCCUCUCACUUCCUUUCUUUUUCUCUUCCUUCUUUUUUUCUCCUCUUUCUACUCUUUUCCUUUCUCCUUUCUCCUUCCUUACUUUCUUCCUUUUUCUUUCUUUCUUUUCUUCUCUCCUAACACUGAGUAAUUAGUAUGUGCCAGAAAUUAUGCUACAUUUAAGUACAUUGUCCCAUUUUAUUUUUACAACAAACAACCAUAUUAUAUAAGAACGUUUAAUAUUCCCAUUUUAGAGGUAAAGACACAGGCUGGCAAAUUUGCACAAGAUCACCCAAAUGGUAAGUGAUAGAGUCAGGUUUCGGAGCCAGGCAGUCUAACUCCUGUCCAUGCACUCUUAAUCACUAGAUUACACAGCCUCGUUUGUGAAGCACAGGGUUAUAUGGAGGCCAGACCAGAGUUUAUAAGGAAGAAAGGGUGGCUACAAAGUCAGCCAUAUGUGCACGCAGGUAACUGUGGAAAGAAGAGACUAGUGUAGUGAUUCAAAAGAAAGCUUUGUAUUUAGGCCAGUCCUGGUCUGAAUUCUGCUUCUUCCAUCUACUCACUGUGUGAACAUGGCACAUUAAUUAACUUCUCUGAGCUCCUGAAUUCUCAUCUUUACAGUGAAGCCAAUACUACCAGUCUUGAAAUGAUGUUGCCUGAUUUAACUGAGAAAAUGAAUACAGAGUAUUCCCCAACUAUUUGGUACAUAGGUGAAAGCUACUAUGAUAAUAACAUUAUAUAUGGUUACUGUUAAUAUUCUUCUUAUUAUAGUCACCCUUAGAAUUCUCAGUCCCAACAGCAGGAGUCCUGAAGACAGCAAGGUAUGUUUUCUCCCUUGUGAUUUUAGCCAACAGUUGGCACCUAUCUUCACCCUUGGAACUGAAGACGAUUUAUAUGCAGCUAAAAAAAAAAAAAAUCCAUUUAAUCUGUGCUGAAUUUUGUCACCCUUAGGAGUUAAAACAUAUGAUGUGCAGCCUUCAGGGUGUGACUGUGUUUAAAGAGAUGUUCUCAGAAAUACGCACGUGUCCCAGUGAGGGGUGAAUGCGUCUGAGUUCCUCCCUAGGUGAUGUCAAGCAAACAGUUCUUUGAGAAUUAGGCAAUCUGGCUACUAAACCAUUGGUAUUGUGCCACGAGGCAUAAACCUUCCCAAGCAGGAGGGUAUUGUACAAAUAGGAAUCAUCUCCCAGAUCUCAGAUUAAUGCAGCUGUGGAAAAUAGCAUUUUAAUAAAUGUAUUCUCCAAAUGGAGGCACUUUUAUUGCAAAACGUUCCUUUUGUAUCCUGAGAGAAAUGGAAUGUUUUGGUUAGGCAUAAACAACAGUGAGAGCAUUUUCUAAAUACACAUGUUUUCUGCAUGUCAGUUUAAUUACAUGUUGUAGAUCAUUUUUGAGACUCCUUGGGGAUAAUAGCUUCAAAAGCAAUGCUUCUCUCUGUCUUGAGCGACCAGAAGUCACGAUACCUGUUUUACAUUUGGCGGUUUACAGUCCCUCUCCUUCCUUCUCCAUUCCUAUAACUGUUCAGUUAUAUUUACGUUUACGAAAGCGCAUGACGUUUAGGUGUCAGCGCUGACCGGAAGAUUAUUUGAAGUUAAACCACUUUGCCAGCUUCCAUUUUCUUCACAACAUUCCUUUCCACUUCUGCUUUUUCUUUAAAAGAAAAAAUUCUGACUUAAGAAAACUUGAUCCUUUUGGAACAGACCAGCCACAGCUACUCCUUCCUGUGCUCCUAGACAGGAGGAGUGAGGCGAGAGGGCCGAGAAGUUUGGGAGGUGAGGGGGAAUGCUAAGGGAGGGCAGGGGCAAAUGGGGCCUUCUCCGCAGGGGACAUUCAAUAACUCUCUUAGCCUUUAUGCUGUAGGACAGGGUCUCAUUUGCUCGAUUUGGGGUGACAGCAACCGGUUUUGUUACAGCAUAGCUGGAGUUUUAAAUAAGUGCAGCUCUCAGAGGCCAAAAGCGGCAUUCGUUAUCUUAGCCAUGGGAAGACAUGGAAAUCAGCGGUGUUUUUGGCAAGGGCAGCAUAAAUCCACUGUUUGCAAGGCCCCGACCCAGCCAGAGAGGAAGGAAUGCACAGUUUCCCUUUGACGGGCUUCGGGAAACCCUGUUGACUAUUGUCCUGUCCAAGUAGAGACCCUGAAGAUCGGUAAGAUGGAGUGAAUUUUCAGGGUCUGUGAAACAUCUGUGGCCACCAUAGACUCUGAGCCUCUUUUCUUAUUAUCUGUUCCUUACCAAGGUAAGUGAGGGCAGAUGCAGCUUCCUGGGGCCACCAGAGUGUGACUGGGUGAUGUGUCACUCCUGAGCCCUGCCUCCAGUCCGCUUUGGCGUGUAAUCUUGUGCAACCUUUUUUAUUUCAAAAGUGCUUCUGCACUCCCCGGUCAUUCCAAUGCUGCUGGUGAGCACACUUCAUUUCUACUUUGUUUAGCAAUCAGAACCGCCACGACUUUCGAAAAGCAUGAAAUCUCUAAAUGAAGGAACGUAAAGUACUUGGCUUCCAACCCCCCAAUAUGGAGAAACAAUCUGAAUACACAAAAUUAGAAAAACAUACACAGAAUGGUUGUUUAAAAUUCACAGCUGUCAACAUCAAGUAUUUUGUGCGAGAGAAAGAAUGUAAGAAACAUCAGGUUAACAAAAUAGCUGCAGACGGAUCGCUUCGCGCAGAGGACUAGGCUGGCAUUGUCUGCGCCCUGUUUUGCAGAGGCUCAUUUGCAUUGCAGGACAAAGGUUCGCUGUUGGAGACCCUUUCUCUCCAUCCUCCUCCUCCAAAAGGCACCUCGCCAUCCGCAGUGAAGAUAGACCGCCUCCCUCCUCCCAUCAGAAACCUACAGGAACGAACACAAAUCUGUUAUUUUAACACAACGUGGGCACAAAGUGGUGUUUUCAUUCUGAAUAAAGCUGGGGGAAGCUGAAGAAUAGGGCCUUUUAUUUGCAGAAGAUACUCAAAGGAAGCAAGAUUGAACCGUAGGCCAGCGUAUGAGAAUAAAGUUGUUAGAGAUUUUGCAGCCUGUGGCCUGGGAGCUCCACUAGAAGUUCUCUGUCAGCUUGGAGCACUUUGCAUCAGAAUGCAUAAUUGCAUCUGUUAAUUACAUUUUUAGCCUAGUCCUCCAACAUAGAAUAAAUUCAUUUUCCUCCCAUUUUUCAGACUGCCUGGGAGAGAAGACUUUUUUUUUUUUCAAUUUAAUAAACAUGAUUGACAACAGAAAA